ncrna:Pantoea ananatis PA13 EFASI RNA
GUAAUGAGAUACCGAAUCGGCGGCAUCAUCGGAGGAUGAUGUCGGGGGCGACCUGGAAACAGGUACAGCGAAAGCUGCGGUCAGUGUAGAACACUGAUUUGACACCUCUCAAAACCUCAACACUCUGCACUUCCCUGGUGCUCAGGUACUCAUUA